GGCACGUCAACCGGAUGAUUCACCUGCAUCAACGUGACAUAAACUAGGGUCACAUGAAUCUACAUGAAUAUAUAGAGAAAGAGAUAAAUACCAAGCCAGACGCCUCAUCGACCUACAUCUUCUUCGAGGUAAGAUCAGGUGUCUGAAGAAGAUUUUUCUCAGUAAAGGUCGGAUAUUCAUGUCAAUUUAUUAGCUGCUCGGUGCAUAGUCAAAAAAAACUUCAUUGCAUGUUUCAUUCCUUCGCCAGAGCCUCAACUUCAGGUAAGAAUUCUUGUGAAAGACUGCUCAAAUACCUCAAAAAUUUGCAUCUUCGCUUUACGCCCUUCGCCAGAUUCUCCCAGAUUCUCCCAGAUCCAUCUCGAGCAAGUCUCAACAGCCCUCCUUUACAGCUUCUUACCUCGUUAGUUUCUCGUGGGUUCACGCUUGAACCGGUUCUCUCAAGUGUCCAAGUAUGUCAGAUGCGACGGAUAGUUGAUUUUGGGCAAAAGGGUCCUCUCAAGAUAUUGUUUGUUCUGGAGUCUUGAGAAAACCCUUUUGCCCAAAAUCAAUUAUUUGCUCUCUGUAAUCUUUGCCUACUCUGACCUCAUCUGGUGAUAGCUACUGAUCCCAGAAUUGUAGCAAGGAGCUUAGAGAAGCACAUAAUUCCUAAUAUUUGUUGUCCUGAGGAUUCUUAUCAAGAAAGGAAUUGUAUCUGUUUAAAAGUAGUUAUCAGAAUUGGUCGACGUUUCAAAUUGAUUUAAGAUCUAAAUGAUAUGCAUCUAUUAGAUGAAUCUAUAAUCUAAUGAAGUACAAGCGAAUAUAUCGAUUCACCAAUUGCGGAUAUAGGAUCCAAUACCUACCCAUUGAUUCAAUGGAUCAAUUAUUUCUUGUCUUAUUUAUGAUGUGUUUCAUACUUUGAUGAUUACAUAGCAAGUAAAACUAUUAUGUACUUCGCAAUCCAUUCUUAAAUGAAAUGUCUUUAUGUAAAAGUGUAAUCCGUAUGUUAAUAAGAUAAAGGGUACACAUAUAUUUAUAGAGAUCGUAAAAUUAACUGGAAAUCAAGAUAUUUUUGCCGUGGAAUAUGGAUUUUGCUCAAAAUUUUAUUCUUUAUGAUACUUUAUAAUAAAGUUAGGUAUUUUGUGACACAAAAAUACCGUUAUUUCGCCAAAUUUUAUGAUUCAACUUGAAUCAAUUCUCGAUUCUUGAUUCAAGAGCAUAAACACGUAUCUUUAUUUGACAACUACGGUUAUUAAGCGUUACGGGAAAAAAUGGCAUGAUGAUUGUGGCUUUAUUCCGUCCUUUUAUCGAGGUUCUGAAUAGGGCUGGUAAUUUGUGUGAGGAUUCUGUUGAGACUUGAUUCUUCAUUCAUCUGACGACAUCUCUCUUUUUUUCUAAAAAAAAUGUUGAAGCUUCGUUAAGCUAUUCGUUUAUGGUGUUUUCAUUUCCUCAAAUUCUGUUCAUAAGAGGUUUGAUUGGGAGAAAUUAUUGAUGGUUUACUUAUGUACUUUAGCUAUGCAAAGGAGAGAGUAGUCCAACCAUAUGCUCGCUCUUUCCAAACAAUGCCAUUUCUUCUUUCAGUUAUUGAACGAUGAAAACCAAAUUUUUGCCAUCGUCAGUAGAACCAUAAAUUAGUAGUUGGCCAUGGAAGAUGUUCUGCAGAAUCUCCUGCUACAUUUAUUCGGAUUUCUGUCACUACUGCUCAAAUGCAUGUUACCAAACGCCUCUACUGUGGGAUGAUUAUAUAGUACAUUUAGCGCGACCAUCAGGGCUUGGUGUAGCCGUCUACCACAUAGCUUAAGAUUUUGAGGAUGUUGAAGGAAGAUGUUUCAUCUCAGGUUCUUCCUUCUUACCAAUGUAUUUGAGGAUCUAUUUGCUUCUCUGUUUGGAUGGAGAUUUUGAGGCGAGGAGCGGAGGAGUUUAUAAAAUGAGCAAUGUUUUGUCUGCAAUGAUCAGCUUUGCUAUGCUUGGUUGCAAUCCGCAGAACAAGAUGGGAAGGAGCAAUCACUUCCCGUACAUUUUGAGAAUAUUGGAGAAAUUUUAUUGGAGAAGUUUGUGAGCGUCUCAUAAGAGGAAGCUCUGUGAUUUUGUCGAAUCUGUAUACAGCAUGACUUUUUGAGUUUCUUGAAGAUGCAGAUCAAUAAGGCUACUGUUGAAAGUGACUCUGUACUGCUUUCCCUACAUAUGGUUUCUUGCGUAUUGUUUGUU